rnacentral:rRNA from 1 species
AUGAGCGCCGCCGCGUCCGUCCAUGGGUACCCCCUGCUCAGCGUACUUCGUAGACGCAAAAACAGGGUUCGUCCUCUUCCUACUGGGAUCAAACAUGUCCACGUCUGUCUUCUCCAACGUUGGGUGCUAUCCUGGUAUUGGGCAGCAGCUUCUCAAACGAUACGUAAGACGAGCUGCUUCGUCACUUCGUCAGUGGCCAUGUAUGGUUUUGUUUUUUUUCUUCAGAAAAAUCAGAAUGCACAAGAUGUCUUCCAACGGCCUGGCAGGGAUUGGUUCUUCGGCCCAUCAGCUUCGGGCUCUGGCCCACUUGUCGCCUCUGACAAGAUAAAAACGAUCACUCCAUCAAGUAGUCUGGCCCAUCUAGCAGCUCAGGUUCAAGUUUUUAUCCUGAGUUUAUUUUACCGGUUAUCUUCGGUUUCUUUUUUCAUUUUCAAAAGAAAUCCUUUUGUAAGAUUUUUUUUCCAAAUUUCAAGAAAUGUUCGUGUUUAA